GUGCGUUGCAGAGUAACAAUAUGGGUAUCAAUUAAGAGGAAAAAUUCUGUAGAAUUGAAAACAAAAAUUGAUUGUUUGGUGCACCAGGACAAAUAAGUGUUGAAAAUGUCCUUUUAAAACCUUAUCCUUGAAUAUCCUUGGAAAUUUCCAAUAUUUAU